rnacentral:rRNA from 1 species
UACGAAGGGGGCUAGCGUUGCUCGGAAUCACUGGGCGUAAAGCGCACGUAGGCGGCUUGUUAAGUCAGGGGUGAAAUCCUGGAGCUCAACUCCAGAACUGCCUUUGAUACUGGCGAGCUUGAGUUCGGGAGAGGUGAGUGGAACUGCGAGCGUAGAGGUGAAAUUCGUAGAUAUUCGCAAGAACACCAGUGGCGAAGGCGGCUCACUGGCCCGAUACUGACGCUGAGGUGCGAAAGCGUGGGGAGCAAACAGG